ACCUAUCAGAGGACUGAGGCCGGUGCUUCCGGUGGCUGCCCAGAACUUCUUAUCUGCGGCGGCGUGAUGUUGGGCGGCCACCGAGAGACUGGUGUUUUUGUGAGGCAGUGAGACCUAAGGUAACCUUUAUCAAAAGGAUGGAGUUGGGAAAAGGAAAACUACUCAGGACUGGACUGAAUGCGUUGCAUCAAGCAGUGCAUCCGAUCCAUGGCCUUGCCUGGACCGAUGGGAAUCAAGUUGUCCUAACUGAUUUGCGGCUUCACAGUGGAGAGGUCAAGUUUGGGGACUCCAAAGUCAUUGGACAAUUUGAAUGUGUCUGUGGGUUGUCCUGGGCCCCACCUGUUGCAGAUGAUACACCUGUUCUACUCGCUGUCCAGCAUGAGAAGCAUGUCACUGUGUGGCAGCUGUGUCCCAGCCCUAUGGAGUCAAGCAAAUGGCUGACGUCUCAGACUUGUGAGAUUAGAGGAUCACUACCUAUCCUUCCCCAGGGCUGUGUGUGGCACCCAAAAUGUGCUAUUCUGACUGUGUUGACUGCUCAGGAUGUCUCCAUUUUCCCUAAUGUUCACUCUGAUGAUUCCCAGGUAAAGGCAGACAUCAACACCCAGGGCCGCAUUCACUGUGCAUGUUGGACCCAGGAUGGCCUGAGGCUGGUGGUGGCAGUAGGCAGCAGCCUGCAUUCUUAUAUUUGGGACAGUGCUCAGAAGACUCUUCACAGGUGCUCCUCCUGCCUGGUGUUUGAUGUGGACAGCCACGUCUGCUCCAUCACAGCAACUGUGGACUCACAGGUUGCUAUAGCUACUGAGCUUCCAUUGGAUAGGAUCUGUGGCUUAAAUGCAUCUGAAACCUUUAAUAUCCCACCUAACAGUAAAGACAUGACUCCGUAUGCUUUACCAGUUAUUGGUGAAGUACCCUCUAUGGAUAAAGAGGCAACUGAUUCUGAAACAAAUUCUGAAGUAUCAGUUUCUUCUUCCUAUUUAGAACCUCUGGAUCUAACUCACAUACAUUUCAAUCAACAUAAGUCUGAGGGUAAUUCUCUUAUUUGUCUAAGAAAAAAGGACUACUUGACAGGAACUGGCCAAGAUUCUUCACAUUUGGUCCUUGUGACCUUUAAGAAGGCAGUUACCAUGACAAGAAAAGUCACUAUUCCAGGCAUUCUGGUUCCUGAUCUGAUAGCAUUUAAUCCUAAAGCCCACAUAGUGGCAGUGGCUUCCAACACUUGUAAUAUAAUUUUGAUCUACUCUGUCAUUCCAUCUUCAGUCCCAAACAUCCAGCAAAUUCGAUUAGAGAACACUGAAAGACCAAAAGGGAUAUGUUUCUUGACAGACCAACUAUUACUAAUUUUGGUAGGAAAAAAAAAACUCACUGAUACAACAUUUCUUCCUUCUUCAAAGUCUGAUCAGUAUGCCAUUAGCUUGAUUGUUAGAGAAAUAAUGUUGGAAGAAGAACCUUCAAUAACAUCAGGUGAAAGCCAGACUACCUACUCUACUUUCAGUGCUCCGUUAAAUAAAGCAAAUAGAAAAAAGUUAAUUGAAAGUCUUUCCCCAGAUUUUUGUCACCAAAACAAAGGGCUAUUGCUGACAGUUAAUACCAGUAGUCAGAAUGGAAGGCCUGCAAGAACACUUAUUAAAGAAAUCCGGAGUCCUCUGUCUAGUAUCUGUGAUGGCUCCAUAGCCCUAGAUGCUGAGCCUGUUACCCAGCCAGCAUCGCUGCCCAGACACAGCAGCACACCAGACCACACCAGCACACUGGAGCCUCCUCGUUUGCCUCAAAGAAAGAACUUACAAAGUGAAAAGGAAACUUAUCAGCUGUCUAAGGAAGUGGAAAUUUUAUCUAGGAACCUGGUUGAAAUGCAACGGUGUCUUUCUGAACUUACAAACCGUCUGCAUAAUGGGAAGAAAUCCUCUUCAGUGUAUCCACUCUCUCAAGAUCUUCCUUAUGUUCACAUCAUUUACCAGGUAAAUUCUCCUUUGAGGAACUACCACUAUACAUAAAAGCUCCUGCAGCCGAAACCUUAUUAUCUAGAUCCUGUUGUUGAAAAAAGAGCGGUGCUUCUCUGUGAUGGUAAACUAAGGCUCAGUACAGUUCAGCAGACUUUUGGCCUUUCUCUCAUUGAAAUGCUACAUGAUUCCCACUGGAUUCUUCUCUCUGCUGACAGUGAGGGCUUUAUCCCGUUAACCUUCACAGCCACACAGGAAAUAAUCAUAAGAGAUGGCAGCCUGUCCAGGUCAGAUGUCUUCAGAGACUCUUUUUCUCACAGUCCAGGUGCUGUUUCUUCUCUUAAAGUCUUUACAGGCCUUGCUGCCCCCAGUUUAGAUACCACUGGCUGUUGUAACCAUGUAGAUGGCAUGGCUUGAUAUCUGCAGUGUCCUUGCUGUGUAGCUCUUCAGAUGAGACGAUUACAAACAAGGCCUGCUUGACACUGUGGACACUCGCCAAUGAGACUCCCACUGCACUCAGGCGAAGCGCUUGCCAUGGUCGGCUCUCCUGGUUUCCCCCUGUUUCCCCUGAGCUGAGGCUCGCUGCUGUGUAGCAGAGCUCAGUCUUUAUUAGAUGGCUCCGAAAGUGGUGUUUAUGUAUUCAUGACUGUGUGGUUUUGACUAAGGGCAGAAUUCCCAGAACAAAACAAUAUUAUGGUGCCAUAUGGAUGGUGUUUUAUGGUUUCUCUGAGGCUUUGUGUCCCUUGUCCAAAGCUGCAUUGAAGCUGUCUUAGGAGCACUUAAAAGAUACCUUGGCAUUGUUAUAGGUCUUUUUCUUGGUUUCAAGAGGAGGUUGAGGAGUCUGCUGGGGGGCAUGUGCUCUAGCAUAUUAACCUCAAGCCAGCAAGAAUUAGCAGAGCUCCAAGGAGGACCAGAGACCCACUGGCUUUUGCUCUCAGGAACAGGAAGUGGCUCUGAUGUUGCCUGGACCUUCCAGAAUUUAAACCUAACCGUCUUGCUUCCUUAGCAAAUUCUGGCUGACGAAGGUCCAGGUACUCUUAAAAACUGGCCCUGGGAAAAUUUUGAAUGAAAUUUCAAGGGAAUUUGUCCCCUCUGGGCUCCACUUGAGGUUGUGCCGAUGCUGCUACCACACUGUCGAGCCCAGGUAAGUCCUACUGCAGGAUUUUGUGCUGUGGCCACUCAUGAGUGUCCCUGAAAUAACUUUUUUUUUUUUUAAAUCCAGUUUUGGGAUCACGCAACUUUCCUAUUUUUCUCCCAGUAGUCAGCUCCCUUAGUUAACUUGUCACUUUAAUUUGAUAUUUUUAUUUUCUCUCCUUUCAAGUCUUAGAGACCAGCAGAGAAUCUGUGAGAGAAAGUAUUUCAGGAAGUUCGAAAUUCAACCGAAUCCGAGGUAGUCCUAAAAAGUGCCAUUUUGUUUCACUUAUGGGCUAAAGUACCAGCUUAGUCAGGUAAGAGCCCUGACCCGCUUCAGAUAGUAACACCACUUCUCACUGCCUUCAGAUGGAAUCACAGAUUUCAGUCACGGCGCAUAACAAAUUGAUCAGUGAGUGGCUAGGCAUCUGCAGAUAAAUUGUUUCAGCCAUAGAAGCUCCAUUAGCACAUAUGCUUCCUUUUCCCCCCUUCCUUUAAAAUCAUCUGGAAAGAAACUAUUUUGUGCCCUUGGGGACUCCUGUCUGUCUGUUACAGUUUACCAAGAUGGAGCUGGGUUAGGAAAGAAGUGAGGGCCCAUUUUGUGGUUCAAGUGCACUAGACAGCUGCUGGGGUAGGAAGCACAGGCAAUGUCUGUAAUCAGCUGUGGGAGAGCGGUGACUGAGAACAUUCUGAGGCCUGGCUCCACUUGGAAGUAUCUGGGGUGCGAUGAAAUCACAAUUAUCUUGAAGCCUAAAGAGGGAACUACAAGACUGUUAACUAAGAUCAAUGUGGGCACCUAAAAGGGUAUGUUAAAAUCACCAUUUCUCAGGUCAAAAUACUGUGAAUAAGUCUUCAAUAAAAUCACUAAUAGUUA